rnacentral:lncRNA from 1 species
AUAAAAAUGAAAAAGAAGAAGAUGAUAAUUAAAAAGAAGGAGAAGAGGAUGAUGAUAAUAAAAAAAGAAGAAGAAGAAAAUGAUUAUAAUAAAGAAGAAGAAGAAUAGAUGAAUAGCCUCUACUUAAAAAAAGAAAAAGGAAAAGAGUAAUAGAAGAAAAAUGGAAAAAAAUCGAGGUUGAGAAAAAAUUAAAAAUGUUUUAAUAGAUUUUUGAAAAUAC